rnacentral:rRNA from 1 species
AUGUGGUUUAAUUCGAAGCAACGCGCAGAACCUUACCAGCCCUUGACAUACCGGUCGCGGACACAGAGAUGUGUCUUUCAGUUCGGCUGGACCGGAUACAGGUGCUGCAUGGCUGUCGUCAGCUCGUGUCGUGAGAUGUUGGGUUAAGUCCCGCAACGAGCGCAACCCUCGCCCUUAGUUGCCAGCAUUAGUUGGGCACUCUAAGGGGACUGCCGGUGAUAAGCCGAGAGGAAGGUGGGGAUGACGUCAAGUCCUCAUGGCCCUUACGGGGCUGGGCUACACACGUGCUACAAUGGUGGUGACAGUGGGCAGCGAGCACGCGAGUGUGAGCUAAUCUCCAAAAGCCAUCUCAGUUCGGAUUGCACUCUGCAACUCGAGUGCAUGAAGUUGGAAUCGCUAGUAGUCGUGAAUCAGAAUGUCACGGUGAAUACGUUCCCGGGCCUU